rnacentral:tRNA from 1 species
UGCGGGGUGGUGUAAUGGUAGCACAGAUGGUUUUGGUCCAUCUGAUCUAGGUUCGAAUCCUAGCCCCGCAG